AAAGUCCAAAUCCAAAGCCGGGUUCUCAAACAAAACGAGUCGAUACACAAGCGGGUAGUCAGGCAGUCCAGAGGCCGAGAGACGUCUUUGCUGCUCGCUCCGAAAGGUCACUUUAAAACUUCGAUCUCGUCUUUUGACCUUGCGUUUUAGCCUCCUUCCCUCAGGAGGACCCCCCCCCCCUCCUGUUUCUUCACGAGGGAAAAAGCAUCGUUGUUAUGAAAGGUUGCAUUUAAAGUGGCGAUUAAAGGAUAGACCGGAUUCUGGCACACGUACGCAGGUCAGUUAUCGAGGACGGUCAAGCUACGAUCCCAGGACCGUACUAACGAGUUUAUUUUGCGUGCUGAGAAAGGAAACUCUUUCUAUGGUAAACCGGUUUCGUUGUUUUCAGUGAAUGUUGUAAUUGACGAACGGACUUAGACGAGGGUUGUGCCCGAGGGUUGACUUCCCCGGAGCACGAUCCUAAACUACGUACUGCCCUCCUUGCCCCCCUCACUCCCUAAUUCCAAAGACAUAACUUCUCCCCUUCCCUAUAUCUCAAAAAUAGUCUGUCCCGUUAAAACCAGCUCUUCCAAAGACUGCCCCCCAUGGCAGGACAAAUGAUUAUCUUGUGCACUAGAUCAAGACUUGUCACCCUACCUUUGUUGUAUGUGCAAUGAAUUUAGUCUCCAUAUGUCCUUUUCUGUGCAUAAAAAAACCAAGAACAAUAUUUAAAACUGCCAAAACUGUAUAAUGGAAUGUCUUAAUUUUAUGUUUUGAAAGAAUUUAUUCUUAGGAGUAAUUAUAAGAUAUAGUGACUAGUUUUUGAUUUUGCCUUUUAAAAAAGAAAAGAAAUCUUGCAUCCCUUACACUGAAAUUCACAAAAAAGAUUGAAUAAUCAACAAUGUAAUGUACAUAAAUGUAUUUCUGAAUCGACACCAGUUAUAUUUUGAGAACGACUCCCUCUGUAAUUGUUUUUGAGAUGCCCUUUGAACAGAACAUUGAUUUCUGUACUUGUUCAGUAUUUGCUUUCUCACUUUCAGGAGUCAGUUAGUACUUUACGCCAGAUCGUUGUUUUCAUUGUGAAUACAGAAGAUGUAACUCUGGGUGGUGCACAGGUACAACUACAUCACCAGCCAGUGAUCCGUGUAAUGAUUGGUGGUUCAAAGACAAAAAGAGGCAAGGAUGUUGGACUCCUGGACAGACAUUUCAGUAGAGGCACAGAUGGUUGUCCUUGUCAUGCUCACCCAUUAGCAGAGAAGCUAUAGUAGGAAUGCCAUUGAUGUAUUCUUUUGAAUGUUCAAAAGGCCAACCUUCAAGUUCUCUUGUUGCUUCCAGUAUUUAUAUCUGCUUUGUUUUUGGUUAUUUCUUCCUACAUAUCACCAUUCAACAACCCCCCCCCCCCCCCCCCGACUCCUGCCUCGACUCCCUCCCCCCACACCUUCUAUUCAUGCCAUUUCCCUGCAAACUCAAAAGAUCCCCCUCAUCCUUUUCUCUCUGAAACUGAACACAUGGAUGUUUUUUUUUUGGGUUUGUUUUGUUUUUCUUUUGCUUUUUUAAAUAAGAGUUUGCUAUGAUUUAUCAUAGAGUCGAUAAUGGUAUUUGCACUUGAAAAUUGUUAUUGCUCAUGUAAAAAGUGUCUGGAUUUUGUAUUUUGUCUUUUUUUAAAUGAAUGGAAUUGGUGUUCUUAACCUCG